rnacentral:rRNA from 1 species
UACGUAGGGUGCAAGCGUUGUCCGGAUUUAUUGGGUUUAAAGGGUGCGUAGGCGGCUCGUUAAGUCAGUGGUGAAAACCAGCAGCUCAACUGUUGAUGUGCCAAUGAUACUGGCGGGCUUGAGUACAGACGAGGUAGGCGGAAUUGACAGUGUAGCGGUGAAAUGCAUAGAUAUUGUCAAGAACACCGAUAGCGAAGGCAGCUUGCUAGUCUGUAACUGACGCUGAGGCACGAAAGUGUGGGGAUCAAACAGG